rnacentral:sRNA from 1 species
AAAUAUUUACAAAGGUUUUUAAAAGAUUUUGAAAGGGUUUAAAAGUGUUUUAAAAGAUUUACAAGGGAUUUUAAAAGGGUUUUAAAGAUUUACAAGAGAUUUUAAAAGGGUUUUAAAAGAUGUACAAGGAUUUUUAAAAGAUUUUUAAAGAAUUUACAACAAGACCCUUUAAAAACUUUUGU